rnacentral:rRNA from 1 species
UCGAGGGGCAGCAUUCUUAGCUUGCUAAGGCGAUGGCGACCGGCGCACGGGUGAGUAACACGUAUCCACCUGCCGUCUACUCUUGGCCAGCCUUCUGAAAGGAAGAUUAAUCCAGGAUGGCUUCACAUGUCUAAAGGUAUUCGGUAGACGAUGGGGAUGCGUUCCAUUAGAUAGUAGGCGGGGUAACGGCCCACCUAGUCAACGAUGGAUAGGGGUUCUGAGAGGAAGGUCCCCCACAUUGGAACUGAGACACGGUCCAAACUCCACGGGAGGCAGCAGUGAGGAAUAUUGGUCAAUGGGCGAUGGCCUGAACCAGCCAAGUAGCGUGAAGGAUGACUGCCUAUGGGUUGUAAACUUCUUUUAUAAAGGAAUAAGUCGGGUAUGCAUACCCGUUUGCAUGUACUUUAUGAAUAAGGAUCGGCUAACUCCGUGCCAGCAGCCGCGGUAAUACGGAGGAUCCGAGCGUUAUCCGGAUUUAUUGGGUUUAAAGGGAGCGUAGAUGGAUGUUUAAGUCAGUUGUGAAAGUUUGCGGCUCAACCGUAAAAUUGCAGUUGAUACUGGAUGUCUUGAGUGCAGUUGAGGCAGGCGGAAUUCG